rnacentral:lncRNA from 1 species
AUUUAUUUGUUUGUUUGUUUGUUUAUUUUUGUUUGUGUUUGUCCUUGGUUCUUGAAGAGGACUGUGACAUCAGGGAGAGGAUGACAUGACUUGCAAUUGACUUUGAUUUGAGUGAGGGAGGGCUGUGCAAGGUCACCAGCCUUACUUUCUCCUCCAGAGCCAUCUGGGUCCAGUGGCCAAAUGUUCAUCAGGAUGACUGAGAUGACCAGGUCUUUAUUAUCACCUGGCUGGAUUAUUGCAAUAGCCUUCUAACAAGCAAUUGGGGUUAAGUGACUUGCCCAGGGUCACACAGCUAGUAAGUGUCAAGUGUUGGUCUGAGGCCAGAUUUGAACUCAGGUCCUCCUGACUUCAGGGCCUGUGCUCUACUCACUGUGCCACCUACCUGCCCCGACAGAUAAAGAAAUUGAGUCCUGCUCAUUUUACAGAUGAGGAAACUGAGACCAACAGGGAUAAAUGACUUCUCCAGGGCCACACAGCUAGCAAGUUAUCUGAGGCCAGAUUUGAACUCAGGAAGACUCAUCUUCCUGACUCCAGGCCUGGAGCUUUAUCCGCUUUGCAACCUAACUGCCCAGAGUCAAUGAAGUCCAAUGGCAAGACAAAAGUCAAGAUGCCUGUCGAUGGCCUGGAACUGGUGGAUGACCUUGGCCUUUCACUGGAUUUAGGAAAUAGAUCAAGUUUCCCCUACCAAGGGAGU